CGGUGACCGCGGUCAUUCAAGCAGUUUCUCACAGAUUGCUGUGCCUAACUGUUCGUGCUGCAUACUGACUUGACGCCUUCAAUGAAAAGCCAAUGAUGCCGAAAACUAAAAGAAAAAGACAGGGGACUAUAGACGGCUUUUUCAAGAGAAAACAAGAGGAUGAACAGGCGAAAGAUGUGUCCAGGAGUGAGGUGGACAGAGAUAUGGAGGAGGAAGAAGGAGAAGGCAGCCGAGAAGAUGCAGGCCAGGAUGAGAAAGAUGAUAGGAGUGAGAGUGCAGAUAAUUGUGCUGCUUCAUCAGUUUACAUUAAACCCAACCAACCUGACCCUAAAUGCAUUGUGAAGCAGUCUCUUCCUAAAU
ensembl:lncRNA